rnacentral:rRNA from 1 species
UAUAUUUGAGAGUUUGAUCCUGGCUCAGGAUGAACGCUGGCGGCGUGCCUAACACAUGCAAGUCGAGCGAACCCUUCGGGGUGAGCGGCGGACGGGUGAGUAACGCGUGGGUAACCUGCCCUGUACACACGGAUAACAUACCGAAAGGUAUGCUAAUACGGGAUAACAUAUGAGAGUCGCAUGGCUUUUGUAUCAAAGCUCCGGCGGUACAGGAUGGACCCGCGUCUGAUUAGCUAGUUGGUAAGGUAACGGCUUACCAAGGCAACGAUCAGUAGCCGACCUGAGAGGGUGAUCGGCCACAUUGGAACUGAGACACGGUCCAAACUCCUACGGGAGGCAGCAGUGGGGAAUAUUGCACAAUGGGCGAAAGCCUGAUGCAGCAACGCCGCGUGAGCGAUGAAGGCCUUCGGGUCGUAA